GAGGGUAGAGCUCAGUGGCAGAGCACAUGCCUAGCAUGCACUGGGUCCUGGGUUCAAUUCCCAUUCCCUCC
rnacentral:tRNA from 1 species